rnacentral:rRNA from 1 species
AUUGAACGCUGGCGGCAUGCCUUACACAUGCAAGUCGAACGGUAACAGGUCUUCGGAUGCUGACGAGUGGCGAACGGGUGAGUAAUACAUCGGAACGUGCCCGAUCGUGGGGGAUAACGAAGCGAAAGCUUUGCUAAUACCGCAUAAGAUCUACGGAUGAAAGCAGGGGACCGCAAGGCCUUGCGCGAACGGAGCGGCCGAUGGCAGAUUAGGUAGUUGGUGGGAUAAAAGCUUACCAAGCCGACGAUCUGUAGCUGGUCUGAGAGGACGACCAGCCACACUGGGACUGAGACACGGCCCAGACUCCUACGGGAGGCAGCAGUGGGGAAUUUUGGACAAUGGGCGAAAGCCUGAUCCAGCCAUGCCGCGUGCAGGAUGAAGGCCUUCGGGUUGUAAACUGCUUUUGUACGGAACGAAAAGACUCUUUCUAAUAAAGAGGGUCCAUGACGGUACCGUAAGAAUAAGCACCGGCUAACUACGUGCCAGCCGCCGCGGUAACAC